CCAGGAUGUUUACAUGAAUACAUAACUUUAUUUAAAUAAAUGCUUUGUCAUAACAAAAAAGACAAAGGUUAAAAGAGUACAUAAAUUACAAGAUGAAUAAUAAAUAUUACACAAUGAUAGUCACCUUAAUAAUUUGAGAUUUCCUUUUUUUUUUUUUUUUUGGCUUUUUUCAUUUUGCCUUAUAUUGUUCCAAAUACUGACCAUUUUUAUUUCCCAUGAUUUUCCCGCCACUGUUGGGGCAAAUCUACGUCAGUGAAGAUACAAAAACCGAUCGUGUCGUCGUUUCACAAUGGGAUUGUGUUUAAAUAGUUACCACCGCUACGGUACUAGAAAAGUACGAGAUGUAUUGAAAUGAUUUCAAACCAAGACCGUGAGUAAACUGGGGGGCGGGGGGUUCUACUUGAACGUACAUGUAGGGGACAGGAGGCUGUUACCGUGGUAUAAGGAGAUGUUUCACUAACGUCACCAAAACUAAACCAGAAAUCAGAUGAUACAGAAACAAGGUUUGGAUUUUUACAAACGGAUACUUUGAUGAUGAAGAAGGAUUGUGGACACUCCUGGCUGCAGUACUGAUGUUCCCAGGUUCCAGCAACUCUGGGAACUGAUUACUGUCCUUCUAACUAAGUCUGAUAUCGAGCAGCUGAACACCAUGUUUUUUGGGAAAGUGGCUGUACCCCUGAUUGGACAACUGCCCACGAAAUUACUGCCCUCGUUCUUCUUCAGCUGAGUAUUUGAUAGUAUUUGAGCCUUACACCGAUUCUUUCCUCCGGCCUUUGCGUUUGUCCACAGUUUGUUUUUUGGUACGUUUUCGAAGAACUUAUGGACGCAUGCCCCCGCAAAUGAGUCGGGACAAAAACCAUUGGAAAUUGUGGGGUCAGUGUCGUGCCCCCAUGAAAGAACAACAACAAAAAUGUUUGUUGUUUCCUGAAGGACCCUUAUCACCACCUCCUCCAUUACGUUCGUUAUUGUCUGAGAAACUGUUGUCAGCCUUGAAAUUUAUUCUGAAAUCAGCACUGCCCCCUAGAGGACUUUUUGCAACAACCAUGCAAAUAUCAUGAAAAACCUGAAGUCAUAAAUGUGUCUUCUUUGCUCUGUGCGACUCGAGCUGAAUGUAAUUUUAAAAUCUGUAGAAUAUAAGUAUGCAUAGAGGUUCCAGGCCUGGGCCACGCAGCCCCUGUCGAAGAAGAUUACCUCAGAGUAUCACCUUAACAAAGUUGAGCACUAGGUUAAACUUUUUUUUCCCCUCUAACUUCUUGAUACCACAUCUAGGGGCGCUGUUGUGUCAAAUUAAGAAGUGAAAGAUUGAGAUGAUUGCUUUUCCAAUAUUUGUGUAGAAAGUGGAACAAAAAUGUUCCCAGUUCUUUUCAACGAAGCGCAACGUUGAUUUACCAUAUGACGUCCAAUAGCUCCUCGUCUCUGGAAAUCGUACGCAUUGGCAUUUACAUUAAAAAGAAAGAAGUUUAGCUUACUGGUUGGGAGGUCUAACAGAGACUACCCGUAGAUUACAGUACCACGUGGAUUACCGACACAGUUUCUACUCAUUAGAUGUCAACUACCCUUUUAUUGUUGGAUCAACUAUCUGCCACCAGGGAAACCCACACGUCUACGUCGAGACUGGAUGUAGUGAAAGUAAAAAGGCACCGAGAUUCAGGAGAGACAGGUCGAACUCCGUGUGGAAGAUUGUAGCUAAAUGUCUCAGCUGUGCUGCUCUGUCUGCGUAGGUUCUCAGUCGUCCUGGUCGUUUAAUCUUGAACUGGUCAGAAGUGAGAACUGGACUGGUUGGAUGGUUUCUGGAGGGUAUUUACCCUCUUCAUCCAAGAGCUGACUUUAGUACUGGUAUUUAGCCACCAGGGGCUACAAUAAUCUGGAAAAUGGGGGGGCUCUACUGAAAAUCUGACUCAACUGCUCAACAAUGACCCCUCCUGCACACCUGGACCAGGUGAACUCAACAUCUCGUCAGUAGACCAGGUACGAGUUACCGAAGCCUCUUGGGUCAGAGGUGAAAUGUGGUCCAGAAACCAAACCAGUCCACUUGCCCACCCUGACGAUUACUGGUCACGUUCCUGACCAACUAUAAGGACCUUUAAAAAUUCUUUACAAGUCUUUUUUUUUUUUUUUACAAGAACAAUUACAGUUAACAAACUUCGUUUCUACAAAUAAACAUUCAAUAACUAUAUUGAAAGGUAUACACAAUGAUUAAACUGCAGUAGCGCUACGGGGGGGGGCGACUUGA